rnacentral:rRNA from 1 species
AUUGAACGCUGGCGGCAUGCCUUACACAUGCAAGUCGAACGGUAACAGGUCUUCGUAUGCUGCCGAGUGGCGAACGUGUGAGUAAUACAUCUGAACGUUCCCGAUCCUGGGGUUUAACGCUGCGAAAGCUUUUCUAAUACCGCAUACGAUCUACGGCUUAAAGCGGGUGAUCUUCGGACCUCGCGCGGUCGGAGCGUCCGAUGGCUGAUUAGGUAGUUGGUGGGAUAAAAGUUUAACAAGCCGACGAUCUGUAGCUGGUCUGAGAGGAUGAUCAGCAACACUGGGACUGAGAAAGGGCCCAGACACCUAGGGGAGGCAGCAGUGGGGAAUUUUGGACAAUGGGCGAAAGCCUGAUACAGCAAAGCCGCGUGCAGGAUGAAGGCCUUUGGGUUGGAAACUGAUGUUGUACGGAACGAAAAGAAGCUUUCUAAUAAAGAGGGGUCAUGACGGUACCGUAAGAAUAAGCACCGGCUAACUACGUG